CACACCGCCCGUCACACCAUGGGAGUGGGUUGCACCAGAGGUCGUCGAUCGAACCCGCAAGGGACGAAGGCGCCGAAGGUGAGUUCGAUGAUUGGGACU
rnacentral:rRNA from 1 species